AGAGAGAGACAUGCGCGCAUAUCAAUAAGCGGAGGAAAAGAAACUAACAAGGAUUCCCUUAGUAACGGCGAGUGAAGCGGGAAGAGCUCAAAUUUGAAAUCUUCAAGGUUUUACCUUGACGAAUUGUAGUUUAAAGAAGUGUUUUCUGCUGAAGUUUUGGUAAAAGUUCUUUGGAAUAGGACAUCAUAGAGGGUGGGAAUCCCGUAUUUGACCAUUAUUUUCAGCUUUGUGAUACACUUUCAAAGAGUCGGAUUGUUUGGGAAUGCAGUCCAAAAUGGGUGGUAAAUUUCAUCUAAAGCUAAAUAUUGGCGAGAGACCGAUAGCGAACAAGUACCGUGAGGGAAAGAUGAAAAGAACUUUGAAAAGAGAGUUAAACAGUACGUGAAAUUGUCAAAAGGGAAGCGUUUGACACCAGUGUUGUUUUCUCGAAAAUCAAUUAAAAAUGGCUCGAUUUUGUAUUGUUGAGACCUUAAAAGCUCACUGUACAUUUUUCGUGUCUUUUUAAUGCACUUUUCGUUUAACAAGUCAACAUCAGUUUCUUUUGUUGUAAAAGGGUCAUUGGAAGGUGGCUUUCUUUUCGGAGAAAGUGUUUAUAGCCUUUGGCCUCUGCAAUCGGAGAGAUUGAGGUCUGCAGCGUAGAUCCUUCGGGGUUAGAUACAUUUGUGCUAAGUUAUAGCCUUUCAUAGACAACUUGUUGACUAUAAUUAGUCUUGUAGCUUACUCGCUUAUGCUAUUUUACCUACGCUUAGGAUGUUGAGUCGUAGAGCACGCAG
rnacentral:rRNA from 1 species